AAAGACCCCAGCUUAGCAGCAGUAACGCCAUUUUGCAAGGCUGUACUUAAGAUGACUGGUUCAGGGAAAGGUUAGAACACUGAGUACACAGCGGCUGCCAAGCAGGAUGUGUUUGGUUGAAGGCCUGGCAACAGGACGACUGCAGUUGAGCACCUGACAAUGAGAAAAGCCCCGGGAGAGGUCCCACACCCUGGUGGGGGGGCCGAUCAGUCGUUAUGUUCCAAGAAGGUAGCUAAGAAACUUGCCCCCGGGCUGAACCCUUGGGGGGCCGAGUCAGUCGUUAUGUUCCAAGAAGGUAGCUAAGAAACUUGCCCCCAGGCUGAACCCUUGGGGGGCCGAGUCAGUCCUUAUGUUUCAGGAAGGUAGCUAGGAAACUUGCCCCCGGGCUAAACCCUUGCCAUAUUAGAAUCCACCAAUUAUAUCCCUGUAACCAUGCAUCUGCUUCUGUAUGCUUGCUUCUGCUCCCCAAAAUCCUAUAAAAGCCCAUCCUUGGUUCCGUGGGGCGCGCCAGUCCCCCGAGUGACUGAAGCGCCCGCAGGUGCCUGUGCCUGUGUAUCCCGACAAUAAACCAAAUCCUCUUGCUGAUU
ensembl:lncRNA